UUAUCUUUCGAAUUUAUGCCAGUUGCACGCUCUCAUGUUUCAUUUUGUUCAUUGUAGAGAGUGUAAUGGGUGAUUUUGGGGGACUAAUGUACGUAUGAAGCUGCUAGGAUUGGUUGCCGAAUCUUGAAUCCUAAUGGAGUUCCUUUUAGCCAACUAUUGCUGGAGAAAUUAAAUGCAUAUUGCUGCGGCUAAAGUUGAAUACAUAGAUCCGAGGAAGCCUAUAUCUGAUCCGCAAGGCCAAUGUUUGUUGGAAAUAUGAUACAAAGACCAUCAGACAACGAUUUUUAGUUUGUAGUCGUGAAGGUUUGAAGGAUACAAAUGGUGGUCUGCCUAAGGUAUGUUUUUUGUUGUGUGUUGUUUAAUGAAGGUUAUGGUUAUAAUGGUUAUGAUAAUCUGUACAUUGUAGUAUAGUAUAUGCUCUUUUUUUUAAUUAGUAUAUGUAAGUUUACAUGUUAGUGGGUAUUUUUCAUGUAAUGUAAAUUAGAAAAUAUGAUAUAGUUAUUGUUAUAUAGUGUAAUUUAAGGGGGUUUUAUAUAUUUUUUUAUAUAGCGUCCAUUAUCCUUGUAUAUUAGCUAUUUGUUUUUAUAUUAGUGUAUGUGGUUUAAAUGUAAAAUGUGUUUAUCACAUGGUAUAAUUUUUUUUAUUAUUGUCUGGAUACUUUAUAAAUUAGUAAACAUGAGAUAGUAAUUUAAUUUGGUAUAAAUUAUGGUGCUUAAAAUAUUUUGGGUAAAGAUGUACAUUGGUAUAAUUUUUUAUAUUAGUGUGUUGGACAUGGUGAUGAACAUUAAUUCACACCUAUUGUUCACUGAAGUAUAUACUUUAUGUUCUUUUUGGCACAGACAGAUACUAAGCUUGAUCAACGCUGUGGAUG